CUCUGUAGUGGGCAGGCCAGAUGGCUAUAGAAAAGUAGUGAGAGAUAGAUGUAUUAGCUCCAGGCUGAGCAGAUCCCUGGUACCAGGAUAAGUGAAAUGGCAGCUGCUCCAGGUCAGUUAAGACACCUGGGGCCAAUUAAGAACUUUCCAGAAGGCAGGGAGAAGGCUAGGUUGAUUGGGACAC